rnacentral:rRNA from 1 species
UACGUAGGGGGCGAGCGUUGUCCGGAAUUAUUGGGCGUAAAGCGCGUGUAGGCGGCUUGUUAUGUCGGGUGUGAAAGCCCUCAGCUUAACUGAGGAAGUGCGCCCGAAACUGGCGAGCUUGAGUGCCGGAGAGGAUAGCGGAACACCCGGUGUAGAGGUGAAAUUCGUAGAUAUCGGGUAGAACACCAGUGGCGAAGGCGGCUAUCUGGACGGACACUGACGCUGAGACGCGAAAGCGUGGGGAGCAAACAGG